UACGUAGGGCGCAAGCGUUAUCCGGAAUUAUUGGGCGUAAAGAGCUCGUAGGCGGUUUGUCGCGUCUGCCGUGAAAGUCCGGGGCUCAACUCCGGAUCUGCGGUGGGUACGGGCAGACUAGAGUGCAGUAGGGGGAGAUUGGAAUUCCUGGUGUAGCGGUGGAAUGCGCAGAUAUCAGGAGGAACACCGAUGGCGAAGGCAGAUCUCUGGGCCGUAACUGACGCUGAGGAGCGAAAGCGUGGGGAGCGAACAGG
rnacentral:rRNA from 1 species